AGAAGAUACUGGAUGGCUUAUGGAAAUGGUGGGUGCAAUUCUUACAAAUAUCUUGAGAUGAUUCCACUUUGCUGUAAAGUGCCAACCCAUGGGAAGCAAAAGGUGAUGAUUUGGAGAGUUGACAGAAGGAACGGGUUGCGGUAGCAAAUUCAUGCCAGAUUGACUGCAGCCACAGCAAGGGUCAAGGACUUAGAAUGUUUCAUUUAUUGUUGAUAUUUGUCUUAUUAACUAUUAUCAAUACUUAAAGUAUGUGUUGAGAUACAUAAGUGCUCAAAUUCAAUUUGGAACACUUAUGUGGCAUUAAAAAAACAUUUGUAUAUGUCUUUUUAACAUUAUUUGUAUUUGUUGUUUGAAAAGAUGUAAUAUUUGGAGCAAAUGGUGAUGGAAUUGGUAAAAUGAAAUAAAAAUGGAUCAGAGAUUGAGACAUGAAUUUCAUGUUCAAUUGCCAAUGAUCCUUGAAUCAAGGGUUAAGGAUGCACUUGGAUUUAAAGAUAUAUCAAAGUUUAAAAUUAAAAUAUUUCUGUCUGUCAUUUUUUAUCAUAAACAAAUAUCUAAUCUAUUGUUGUUUGUAAGACCAAUUUCUUAUUGCUUUUUAUUUUUUUUCCAACAUUUUUUAUCAUAAAAUUAAAAUAUUUUUGUCUUUGUCUUUGUUGCAAACUGCUACAUCUUGAUGUAAAUGGAUUUUUGAGUUUUUUGUUGAGAUCAUGUGUGAGUAUGAUACUGUGAUCUUUCUCUAUUGUUGAUCUUUGGCCAAUACUUAAUUUAGAUUUGUUUUUAGAUUGUGCUCUCUCUUUUUUUCUUAUUUAUUUGUUUUGUUUUCACUUUCAAAAUUAUCCCAGAUAAAAAGUCAAACUAUUUUGUGUAAGUUUCUGCAAUUAAAAAGUUUCACUGCUACAAAU